GACGAACGCUGGCGGCGUGCCUAAUACAUGCAAGUUGAGCGAUGAAGAUUGGUGCUUGCACCAAUUUGAAGAGCAGCGAACGGGUGAGUAACGCGUGGGGAAUCUGCCUUUGAGCGGGGGGCAACAUUUGGAAACGAGUGCUAAUACCGCAUAACAACUUUAAACAUAAGUUUUAAGUUUGAAAGAUGCAAUUGCAUCACUCAAAGAUGAUCCCGCGUUGUAUUAGCUAGUUGGUGAGGUAAAGGCUCACCAAGGCGAUGAUACAUAGCCGACCUGAGAGGGUGAUCGGCCACAUUGGGACUGAGACACGGCCCAAACUCCUACGGGAGGCAGCAGUAGGGAAUCUUCGGCAAUGGACGAAAGUCUGACCGAGCAACGCCGCGUGAGUGAAGAAGGUUUUCGGAUCGUAAAACUCUGUUGGUAGAGAAGAACGUUGGUGAGAGUGGAAAGCUCAUCAAGUGACGGUAACUACCCAGAAAGGGACGGCUAACUACGUG
rnacentral:rRNA from 1 species